AACAUUUUGGCGCCUAAAGUCAACCUUUUAAUAAUUGACUUAAUCUUGCCUUAUCAUUCACUACCAAUUACCUCGAAUUUAAUUGUGUUUAUUAAUCUGACCUUGUAAACCUCUGCCUAAAGCCUAAAACCCAUCAAGUUCCUCCACUGCAGAAUUGCUCCAUCGAUGGGGAAAGGCGAGAUGGAGCAGCUGGCCUUUGAAUUGAACCAUGAUUCUUCCAGUUUGUUGCUUCACCUACGGCAAGAUGAACACUGAGCUACUCAAGGGAAAAACUGAAAUGCUGGAGGAGUAUUUCUGCAUUUAUGUUGAUCCACAAGGGAAUUUGUCCAGGAUUCCUGUCAUGCUUGAUCAGAUCGUGUUCCAGAAUUUGUUCUUUGUCCAAGCAAUGAUUUGUCCCGAAGUUCAAUCAACCUAUGGAGUAUGUUGCAUUGGAGGGAAGAUCUUCUGGAUCAGUUUUGACUUAUAUUGGACAAAUGGAUGAGCGGUUUUGACAUGGCACCUCCUGCUUCUGCAAUGUUAACUUCAGCUGCAGGGAUCAGGAAACCAGUACAAAGGCUUCGUAGAUUGUGUCAAGACUAUUGUUAGGGAAGAGGGGGGCCCUGCCCUUUUAAAGGUAUUCACAAACUUCCCGUUAAUUGUGAUGAUGCAUGCAACAUGGCCAUACGAAGAAUUCCAGAGUAGGAGAUCAUUGUGUUGUAACUUGGAACUUCUGAAAUUGGAACCUAUAAAGUUGGUCGCUGUUGUUAUUGACAUGACGAAAUUGAUGAGAUGCUUCUUGAAAACUACUAGUGGUAGUGCCAUUCAACAGUUUUCCAAAUUUUCAGAGAACAAUGAUGAUACUGGUGAUGGUGGAGGGGCUCCAGUUUUCACAUUUUUGUCCAUCUCUGCACAUGGGCUCGGUACGAGGAAGAUGACACUCAUUCAAAGAGAGGUGUUCUCCUGCUGUAUAGAGCAAGGUGGGCAACGGAUAGGAGAAGGGUGAUUAUUUUUUAAUAUUUGUAUGAACUUAAUUACAAUUGAGGUGGGUUAUUGUUAGUUUGGCUUGUCCGCUCAAAGUUUUGGUUGACAUUUUUUGUUUAUUGAUUUAGUUAGGUACUGAGUAUUGUUCAUCGUUCAUCUGAUUGUUUUAAUUAGGAUAGAAAUGUUGAUGUAAUAUGUAGAUUGAUUGAAUAUCAAUUGUUGGUUUGGCUUAGAA